rnacentral:misc_RNA from 1 species
UAUUUGGGAUUCUUAAAAUCAAAACUGCACGUGCUGGAUUUGUGCACGCUCUUCACGGGGGCUAUAAGUGACGUCACUUGUGGUCACUCCCCGACUGAAAUUGACAACCUUGGCAUUUGUAAAUGCGUGUGGCUCGAAGUUCAGACAAUCCUGUCCGGUUAAAACAACUAUAAAUAUCAAGCUAACGUUAACACGCUCAAUUCCUUUUCAAUCUUCGUGAGCGUAGCCUAAAACAGAUUUCAAUUAAGAACUAAUGGAAAUGGGUUUUAUCAAGAACACCCUCUACCUGGGGCUUCGGUACGUGUUCCUCUUCCUGCUGUUGGGCUACCACACACUGGCCAAACUGUGGAACACCCUAUUGGCUCCCUUUGAACCAAUCAAAGUU